rfam:Pongo abelii chromosome 5.
GUCAGGUUCAGUGGUAUGCACCCCGUGGUCCCAGCUACUCAGGAGGCUAAGGCAAGAGGAUCGCUUGAGCCCAGGAGUUCUGGGCUGCAGUGUGCUAUACCGAUUAGGUGUCUGCACUAAAUUCGGUAUCAAUAUGAUGACCUCCCGAGAUCAAGGGGCUGGGGUAAGCACCAGGUUGCCUAAGAAUGGUGAACUGGUCCAGGUCAGAAAUGGGCCAGGUCAAAACUCUCAUGCUUAUUAGUAGUGGGAUAGUGCCUGUAAAUAUCUACUCCACUUAAGGCUGGGUAACAAAGUGAGACCUCAGCUCUU